rnacentral:rRNA from 1 species
UGACGAAGGGGGCUAGCGUUGCUCGGAAUCACUGGGCGUAAAGCGCACGUAGGCGGGAUUGCUGAAGUCACGGGGUGAAAUCCUGGAGCUCAACUCCAGAACUGCCCUUGAUACUGGCGGUCUCGAGUCCGGGAGAGGUGAGUGGAACUGCGAGUGUAGAGGUGAAAAUUCGUAGAUAUUCGCAAAGGAACACCAGUGGCGAAGGCGGCUCACUGGCCCGUACUGACGCUGAGGUGCGAAAGCGUGG